GCUGGCCCUCAACUAUUUUGACUGAUCUCAGAAACUAAGCCGGGCUAGGUUAGUACUUGGAUGGGAAACCACCUGGGGAUACCAAGCUCUCCAGUG
rnacentral:rRNA from 1 species